ACUCAAAUGAAUAGACGGGGGCUCACACAAGCGGUGGAGCAUGUGGCUUAAUUCGAGGCUACGCGAAGAACCUUAUCCCGGACUUGACAUGUGCGAAAGCGCUCGGAGGUAGGACCCGGAAACGGGGACGAACGGUACCCAACCCGGAACCGAGUACAGGUGUUGCAUGGCUGUCGUCAGCUCGUGUCGUGAGAUGUCGGGUUAAGUCCCAUAACGAGCGAAACCCCUACCCUCAGUUGCCAGCGGGUUAAGCCGGGGACUCUGGGGGGACUGCCGGUGUCAAACCGGAGGAAGGUGGGGAUGACGUCAAGUCCUCAUGGCCUUUAUGUCCGGGGCUGCACACGUGCUACAAUGGCGUGGACAAAGGGACGCGAGGGCGCGAGCCGGAGCCAAUCCCCGAAAGCACGCCCCAGUUCAGAUCGCAGGCUGCAACCCGCCUGCGUGAAGUCGGAAUCGCUAGUAAUCGCGGGUCAGCAACACCGCGGUGAAUGUGUUCCUGAGCCUUGCACACACCGCCCGU
rnacentral:rRNA from 1 species